ensembl:lncRNA
AGUUAAGGAAAAGCAGAUGCGCAGGAUGGGGAAGGGAGGUCCAGUCUGGAUGACAGAAUGACAGAACCUGGGCUGGAAGAAAGCACACAGAGCCACUUCCCCCGUGACUGCCAGAAGGGAGUGUGCGGGAGGACCACAGCCGUGGGGACGGGCCGGGGCUGCGUGCCCUCACCCUCCGUGGAGCGUGGCUGGCUGGCAGCCUGUGAUGGUGGGUCGUCAGGAGCAGCUGCGUCAGCACGACUGUCUCUUUCCCAUCCUCGCCUGAUGGUGUUCACAGCUGAGCAGAGACCUUGAAGAGAUCUCAGCGCAGUGGCCCCUCCACCCCAGGUGGGUGCAGUCCAGGGUUCUGCAACGGUAGGACCUGUAUCUCCAGAACCUAGAAUAGUGCCUGACGUGUAACAGACACGCAAUUAAUGCUUGUUGAAUGAAUGGAAGAACUGCCCCCAACACUCCACACCUCGACUACGAUCUGGUUGAGAGCAUAACAGUAAUGAAAACAUAUGGGGUCCUGCAGGACGUGGCUUGGUUACUAGCGGACAGUGGAAGACUGGGCGAAGUGUGGAGGCACAGCUGGCGGUGUUCAGCGCACAUUGCUUGCGGAGGGGGUCAGAUAGGAUCAUAGCCGGCGCUUCGAGGGGAGUGUGUCAGUUGUGGAGGUGAAUACCUCAUCUUUUUAUCUAAGUGCCUGGCAAGGAGUAGACACCCAACAAGUGCUUCAAGUCUGAGUGAAUCCCAGGAUUUUGUAGUCGCCCCAACCUGCCUGCAGCUGGUUCUGCUCAAGCUCUGGGAGUGAAGGUGGGUCAAUGAUCCUACAAGCUGUUUUUCCUAAGUAUGCAUCCUUUUGAUCCUGGACUUGGCGUGGCAGCAUGAGCAGUCUGAUUUCUGGUUCCUUUAUUGGGUAGAAACCUUGUAGCUCUCCGAGGGUGGCUCAGGCCCAGCCCUUGGUGUCUGGAAGCUGAGGACCCAUGACUGUUCAAAGGCCUUCUCUGUAGGAGUGGUUUCAGCAGGCUUGUUGGAGACGCUUCACUGUGAGAACCUCUGUACUUCUCAGGGUGGCCUGGAAGAGCGAGAUGAUCGGGGGGCACCUUCUAGAGCAGUGUUUCUCAAUCUACAGGUUUGUAAUGGUUUGUGGUGGACUUCGAGCCUUCCAUGCGGUGGUUUGUGAAAUGAAUGUAAGAGUCACAUACAGCUUUUUAAAAUAAAAUAUAUUAGAAGAGACACAAUAACUGGUGACCUAGUAUUUCAAAAGCAAAGUCAAGAUAGCGACACUUUUAGACAGCAGAUGCACACUGAAGAAAAUGCUAAAGAUGUUCUUAGCAGAAGGAAAGGGAUCCCUCACAGAAGCAUGGAGAUGCAGGAAGGGAAGAAGAGAGACAGAAAAGAGCAAUUUUAGAGAAACUUAAAUUAAUGUUGACUGUAUAAAUAAUAACAAUGUCUUGUGGGAUAUAAGACACAUAGAGAAUUAAAAUACAUGACAGCAGAGCAGAAAUUCGGAAGGGUAUUAAAUAGGUCAAGAUGUUCCAAUAUGUUCCUGCAUGUCUUG